GUGUUCCAAAAAUCUGGAUUCUUGGGGGUAUAAAAUCUGAAAAUUUGCAGUCACAUGAAAAAAUAGAGGCACGAAGGAGAGAUCGAGGGAGAGACAUGGGUUCUCUGAUUAUUAUUGCAAAGCCAAGACCUCUUCUUUCUGAACAAAACAUUUCCUUCUUUCCUCCAAGAAGAAAACCCAUCAAGAAGAACGUAUCUCUUGUUCCUGUCGCAAGACUACUUUGACCGGCCAUUUUUGAAGCUUCGAAGAGGAUGAUCUUCUUUUUAGGGUGGCGCGCGAAACGAGGCAACAGGAAAAGCUGCAGAGGAGUUGUGCAACCACACGAUAGUUUGGCUUGCUCUGUUAUCAGGAUGAAAAUAAUUGAUUCUGAGAAUUUUGUUUGGGGUUCUCUGUAUGCUAUUGUAUUGCUUAUGUUCAUAUUAUGCUUUCAUUUUUCUUGGAUUUACUAUCAUUAAUGCUUGGCAUUAUGUCAAUUAUGAUAAUAUUUCCCCCUUAUUUCUUUUUUGAGUUA